GACUGAGACACGGCCCAGACUCCUACGGGAGGCAGCAGUGGGGAAUAUUGGGCAAUGGAGGAAACUCUGACCCAGCGACGCCGCGUGCGGGAUGAAGGCCUUCGGGUUGUAAACCGCUUUCAGCAGGGAAGAAGCGAAAGUGACGGUACCUGCAGAAGAAGCACCGGCUAACUAUGUGCCAGCAGCCGCGGUAAUACAUAGGGUGCAAGCGUUGUCCGGAAUUAUUGGGCGUAAAGAGCUCGUAGGUGGUUCGUCACGUCGGAUGUGAAACUCUGGGGCUUAACCCCAGACCUGCAUUCGAUACGGGCGAGCUUGAGUAUGGUAGGGGAGACUGGAAUUCCU
rnacentral:rRNA from 1 species